UGCGCAGGCGGACUUUUAAGUCAGUGAUGAAAUCCCGAGGCUCAACCUCGGAACUGCCAUUGAUACUGGAAGUCUUGAAUUUGGUUGAAGUGGGCGGAAUGUAGCAUGUAGCGGUGAAAUGCUUAGAUAUGCUACAGAACACCGAUCGCGAAGGCAGCUCACUAAGCCAAUAUUGACGCUCAGGCACGAAAGCGUGGGGAGCAAACAGGAUUAGAUACCCUGGUAGUCC
rnacentral:rRNA from 1 species